GGGACAAAAGUAAGUUCAAUGUUAAAUCUAAACCACUAUCGUGUAAGGAAAAUAUAUUAAGAUUAUUGUGCCAUUCCACUGAUCCAUUAUCGUUUUAAAGAGAAUAUUCUCUUUUCUUCUCUAGAAAAAAUAUAGUAAACAAUUUAUUUCUCUUCCUUUGACAACUUACAAUUAGUUUAAUUAUUCGCGAUUUUGUUAUUCUUGUACGUGUCUAUUGGAUGGAAAACUAGAUAUAAACCUUCUCGUAGUACAAUUAGAUAGGUUCAUGUAAAAUGGAAAUUAAUAGGUUCUUGUCUAUGUUAUUGUGCAUUGUAGGUUCUUGUAUGUGCUAGCGUCUGCAACCUUCAGCACUUGGCCGCAUGGUGCAGCACUAGUUCGUGAACAACCAGAACCAUAAGCGUGUAUUCAACCAGACCUGCCAACAGUUUGCAGCGAAAGGCAAAUAAGCUCUUGGAGCUCUUUGGAAACCAUUCAUAAAGAAAGAAAUAUAUAACUGGAAAGCAAAAAUGAAAAUCUUCGAUGUAACAGUAGCCGCCAUAUUUACACAUACAUCUAGUAUAUAAAGAUUUAUCGUUGGAUACACAACUAACAUAGAAACAACGAUAUUCCAUACUCCACUUGCUGUGAUUCGAAACAGAGAGAACAAAUGUGGGAAUCAUAUAGAGGGCGUUGCGGUAGAGAAUUAAAUUACUGAAAAUAGAGGGCACUAGGUUUCGAGGAGAGGUUGCGAUGGACUAGGACCAACUGGACGAUGUAGAAAAACGAGAAAACUGGUAAGAAACUAGUAUACACAAAUUAAAAAUAUACUCAGUAAAACCGACCAGGAAGAGUUAUGCAAAUAAGAAAGAACCUACCAAGCAUUCUAGGGAAGGUCAGAGAGAGAAGCUUAUUUUAAAGGACAAUCGUGGAAUUUUAAACGUCAGCUAUGAUACGAAGGACAAAAGAAACAAGGACCUACAGUCAUACAAACAUGAAGACUAUAUCUAGUUACAACUGCCAACACACAUGAUAAGGAACAUAGCGCAGCUUAGACUAGUUCGGAGGGAAGAAAUCCAACAGAUCAAUUUUUACUAUUUUGCAAAGAUGUCUUCAGAUUAUUGUAAUGUAAAUAAAUGCAAUG